AGCAGCAGCCGCGGUAAUACAGAGGAUGCAAGCGUUAUCCGGAAUGAUUGGGCGUAAAGCGUCUGUAGGUGGCUUUUCAAGUCCGCCGUCAAAUCCCAGGGCUCAACCCUGGACAGGCGGUGGAAACUACCAAGCUAGAGUACGGUAGGGGCAGAGGGAAUUUCCGGUGGAGCGGUGAAAUGCGUUGAGAUCGAAAAGAACACCAACGACGAAAGCACUCUGCUGGGUCGACACUGACACUGAGAGACGAAGCUAGGGGAGCAAAUGGGAUUAGAUACCCCGGUAGUCCCUGUCUCUUAUACA
rnacentral:rRNA from 1 species